GAUGAACGCUAGCGAUAGGCUUAACACAUGCAAGUCGAGGGGCAGCAUUAUUUUAGCUUGCUAAGAUAGAUGGCGACCGGCGCACGGGUGCGUAACGCGUAUGCAACCUGCCUGUAAUUAGGGAAUAACCCGGUGAAAGUCGGACUAAUACCCUAUAUUCUUCUUUCUCCGCAUGGAGGAGGACGGAAAGAUUUAUUGAUUACAGAUGGGCAUGCGUCCCAUUAGCUAGUUGGUAAGGUAACGGCUUACCAAGGCAACGAUGGGUAGGGGGACUGAGAGGUUGACCCCCCACACUGGUACUGAGACACGGACCAGACUCCUACGGGAGGCAGCAGUGAGGAAUAUUGGUCAAUGGGCGAGAGCCUGAACCAGCCAAGUCGCGUGAAGGACGACGGUUCUAUGGAUUGUAAACUUCUUUUGUAGAGGAAUAACGGCAGCUACGUGUAGCUGAGAUGCAUGUACU
rnacentral:rRNA from 1 species